GAGGGUACAGCUCAGUGGUAGAGUGCGUGCUUAGCAUGCACAAGGUCCUGGGUUCAAUCCCUGGUCUCUCCA
rnacentral:tRNA from 1 species